AAGAUCCAUCCCCAAAUCCGCGCCCACAUCUUCACCCUAUCUCUGCCGCGCCCAAACCACCAUAACUCCACCCUAAUCUCACUCAUGGUCCCCAUUUCUCUUCUCUCCUUCCUCCACGGUCCGUACCAAGCUUCAUCAUUGUCACGCAUUUUCUCUUCAUUUUUCUUUUUUCCGAAUUUGUCUCUUUUAGGCGAGAAUAGAAAAAUGGGGUGCGUAGGAUCGAGUUACACUUGAUCUACUCCCUCCAUUUGUCUUAUCUCGUCCAUUGAAAGGAUUUUCGAAUUUUUGAAUAAACAUUUUUCGGAUUUUUGUUUUGAGAUCCACACGGUUUUGGGUGUUGCUUGGAGAAUAGGAGAAGAAGAUUCGAGAAGGGAUAUAUAUUUGGGGGGUCAGGCAGAUUUGAGGGGAGUUUUUGAGAGAAAAUUCGGAAGAAAAGAGCUAGGGUUCCUUGAUUUUUAGUUCUCCUAAUUCUCAGUUGAUUCAUAGAUAAAAUAUUAGAGUUCUUUCUUAGUUUUUCUUUUAACUUUUGAAACAGAAAACAAAAAAAAAUUAGCUACUGAUUUGAUUUUUUUUUCAAAAAUGGAUUGCGUUUGAGGUGAACUCGAGUUCGCGUUCAAUUUCCGGUGCCGUCCGAGUUUUAGUUGGCAGUCCCUUCAUGUUCUUGUUUGGAAUUUGGAGUAAAAGCUUUGUAUACGCCGAAUCUUCUAUUCUAUCGAAAGAUUAAGCUUCAACAGGUUCAUUUUUGUCUCCCCUGACGCGUUUGAUUUUAUGUUAGAUUGAAUCUUCCUCCACUACUUGUGUUCUGUUUCAUUUUCGUGCUUAAUGUCUAUGGUUUCCUGUCUGUUCUGUUUGGACAUAUUGGAUUGCUAUAUGAUUUACUUUCGUGAUCAGUGAAUUAGUAUCGAAUUGCGUCGAGUUUCACAUGAAUAUGCAGUGUAUUCCCUUAAUUUUCUUGCUUGAAUUCUGACUGACUUUCCUAAUUCACUUGUCGAUAAAGAUCUAUUUGUGCCUCUUUGAUAUGGUUUGAGUUGGUUGUGGCUUUCAUCUUUAAGGAUUUCAAAAGAUAAACUAAAGGUUCUGCCGGUUUGAAUUUGUAGUUCGAAGUUAUGUUCAUUGUCAUGUUCUCUGACUUUUAUGUUUAAAUUGGCACUCGAUACUUAGUUGAUCUUCUGCUAUUAGAGAUACUGGGAUGUGUAGAACUCGAAGAACCUUGUUAGUGACGAGAAGUGUGACGACAACGAAAGUGUGUUUUAUGAGUUGAAAUCUUGAUGUACAGAUGUCAACUUUGCAUACUUGACAUUUGCUUCUUGUGAUUUUGCGCAACGCUCAGAUUCAUCUGAUAUUCUAUUUUCUUUGCAAGUAAUCUUAAACAUGUUGAAGCAUUCUGUUGAUUAGUGGCUUCCCUUAUUGUCAUAUUUGAGUUGAUUCCCCGUGAAACAAUGGCCAUUGUGUGAUGUCGAGUCCGCUCGGUAGUUUAGUGUCUUAAAACAGGUUUCAUUGUGUUAAAGUUAGUUAAAUCAACCUCUUGCUGUCGGCAUGGUGAUUAUGUUCAGAUGUUGAAUUGAUGUAUGGUAUCGGUUAGUCAUAGUUAAGUAACAGAUUCACAUAAGAAGUCCUAUUAAUUAUCAUGGUUAGGUCAUGAACUUUAUGUAAAGAACAUGUCAUUAUAGUUACUGUUUUGGUGCAUCCAUUCAUGUAUCAGGUGAGAUUUAGUGCAUCUGUGCCUAUGAAGUUGCCUCCAAUGCCUUCUCGAAAUGCUUUUCUCUUGAUAUUAGGACCAGUGUGACGGGUCGAAAUGCUUAAAAUUUAUUUGAGCGGGUAGAGUGCUUUCAUACCUACAUGUUCAAUUAAUCCAUUAUGUCUCGACACAGCAUGCCUAAUUCUUGACAAGCUCGUUGUUUUUCUCUUGCACUUCUGAUAGAUGUCUUGUUUGUCUAUUGUGUUUGUGAAGGGGUGUUAGGUUUCUGAGAGUUGAGUGGUUGGAGGAUAUAGAGUAGGUGACUGAUUAAAAGGCUCUUACCAUAUU
rnacentral:lncRNA from 1 species